rnacentral:rRNA from 1 species
UACGUAGGGGGCGAGCGUUAUCCGGAUUUACUGGGCGUAAAGCGCGUUAAGGCGGUUGGCAAAGUUGAGGGUGAAAUUCCAGGGCUCAACCCUGGAACUGCCUCCAAUACUGGUCGACUUGAGUGCGAGAGAGGAAGGUGGAAUUCCCGGUGUAGUAGUGAAAUGCGUAGAUAUCGGGAGGAACACCAGUGGCGAAGGCGGCCUUCUGGCUCGAUACUGACGCUGUAGCGCGAAAGCGUGGGGAGCGAACGGG